rnacentral:rRNA from 1 species
CCUACGGGUGGCAGCAGUGGGGGAUAUUGCACAAUGGGGGGAACCCUGAUGCAGCGACGCCGCGUGGGUGAAGAAGCGCCUCGGCGCGUAAAGCCCUGUCAGCAGGGAAGAAAAUGACGGUACCUGAAGAAGAAGCCCCGGCUAACUACGUGCCAGCAGCCGCGGUAAUACGUAGGGGGCAAGCGUUAUCCGGAUUUACUGGGGUUAAAGGGGGCGCAGACGGCGAUGGCAGCCAGGAGGGAAAGCCCGGGGCCCAACCCCGGGACUGGUUUUGGAACUGCGUGGCUGGAGUGCAGGAGGGGCAGGCGGAAUUCCGGGGGUAACGGUGAAAUGCGUAGAUAUCAGGAGGAACACCGGUGGCGGAGGCGGCCUGCUGGACUGGCACUGACGUUGAGGCCCGAAAGCGUGGGGAGGAAACAGGAUUAGAUACCCCUGUAGUC